GACCAUGGAUCUUUAUCAAUUUAGCUAAUUAAUUUUCUGCUCAAGGUCAAAAAGAUCUUAUGUUCAUUAACCGGAGUAUAGUGGGUCUUUGCUGAAGAUUAAGAAAUAAAGAUGAUCAUUUAACCAGAAGGACAGAGGAUAAUCUGUUCCUGAAAAUAGCAACCUCAAUCAGCUGUCAAAGUGGACUAUGGAAAAAAAAUGUACUCAGGACAGUGCCCAGCUACGGUCCCUGCGCCAGAAUAUUCUUCCUCCCAGUGAGAGCCCUGAAUCGCAUUCUUUAUAUAUCAAACACAGCCCCACCCCAUCCUCAAAUUCUUUCUGGUGAGUUACACUUCUGUAUUAUGACUUCUGUGUACCAUGAGGCAAUAGCAAAAGAAGGAACCGCAUGAUAUGCGUAGUCCCUGCAAGAACGCUGUUGAGAAUAUUGGUUGGCACCUGUCCAUACACUGUCCCCUAGAAGACAGUGGAAAGGGACCUUUGUUUUCAGCCCCCAGGAAUAGCUGUUCUCCUCUGAACAGCCAGUUUAUUUUCAGAUGGCAACCAGGAACGGAAGCCUUGUGAGCCUUGGCAGACUUGAUCUUCGCAUUUUCAACCACUCACAAGGCACACUCCAGUUUAACCACAGCCACUACAAAGCUGGGGUGUGGUGCCAAGCCCUUGCUGUGGAGUGAGUCUGGCGCCCGGUGGGCACUUAGCAUAGCUUUGUUGUUCAGGUAUCCCCAGUGACCUGCACUGUUCCUCACACACUGUCCUGUCUGGACAUGCGCUCCUCUCUACGCUGGCUGCGGAAGCACAAAGAAUUGUACACCCCUUCCAAAGUGGACAGGAUAGCAGAUGUCGGGGAGAUACAAAAAGUGCAAAUCCACCUUUGCCUUCAGUGAGUUUGUCAUCUAAAAGUAAAAUCGAGGGUUCACAAUUGUGGCACACACUAAGCCACGGCUUGCAGCACCAGCAUCCCAUACCAGAAUGCCUUUUUGGAGUCCUGGCUGCUCAGCUUCUGAUCCAACUCCACGCUAAUGUGCCUGAGAAGGCAGCAGAUAACAGCCCACGUAUGUGGCCCCCGCCACCUACACAGGAGACCCAGAUGGAGUUCCUGGCUCCCGGCUUAUGCUUGACCUAGCCCUGGCUGGUACAGCCACUUGGGGAAUGAUUCUCUCCCUCUCUCCCUCCCUUUGUCUGUCUCUUCCCUCCUCUGUCAUCCUGCCUUUCAAAUAAAUAAAUAAUUUUUUUAAAUUGGAGAUUGAAA
rnacentral:lncRNA from 1 species